rnacentral:rRNA from 1 species
GAGGCACUACGGUGCUGAAGCAACAAAUGCCCUGCUUCCAGGAAAAGCCUCUAAGCAUCAGGUAACAUCAAAUCGUACCCCAAACCGACACAGGUGGUCAGGUAGAGAAUACCAAGGCGCUUGAGAGAACUCGGGUGAAGGAACUAGGCAAAAUGGUGCCGUAACUUCGGGAGAAGGCACGCUGAUAUGUAGGUGAAGCGACUUGCUCGUGGAGCUGAAAUCAGUCGAAGAUACCAGCUGGCUGCAACUGUUUAUUAAAAACACAGCACUGUGCAAACACGAAAGUGGACGUAUACGGUGUGACGCCUGCCCGGUGCCGGAAGGUUAAUUGAUGGGGUUAGCGCAAGCGAAGCUCUUGAUCGAAGCCCCGGUAAACGGCGGCCGUAACUAUAACGGUCCUAAGGUAGCGAAAUUCCUUGUCGGGUAAGUUCCGACCUGCACGAAUGGCGUAAUGAUGGCCAGGCUGUCUCCACCCGAGACUCAGUGAAAUUGAACUCGCUGUGAAGAUGCAGUGUACCCGCGGCAAGACGGAAAGACCCCGUGAACCUUUACUAUAGCUUGACACUGAACAUUGAGCCUUGAUGUGUAGGAUAGGUGGGAGGCUUUGAAGUGUGGACGCCAGUCUGCAUGGAGCCGACCUUGAAAUACCACCCUUUAAUGUUUGAUGUUCUAACGUUGACCCGUGAUCCGGGUUGCGGACAGUGUCUGGUGGGUAGUUUGACUGGGGCGGUCUCCUCCUAAAGAGUAACGGAGGAGCACGAAGGUUGGCUAAUCCUGGUCGGACAUCAGGAGGUUAGUGCAAUGGCAUAAGCCAGCUUGACUGCGAGCGUGACGGCGCGAGCAGGUGCGAAAGCAGGUCAUAGUGAUCCGGUGGUUCUGAAUGGAAGGGCCAUCGCUCAACGGAUAAAAGGUACUCCGGGGAUAACAGGCUGAUACCGCCCAAGAGUUCAUAUCGACGGCGGUGUUUGGCACCUCGAUGUCGGCUCAUCACAUCCUGGGGCUGAAGUAGGUCCCAAGGGUAUGGCUGUUCGCCAUUUAAAGUGGUACGCGAGCUGGGUUUAGAACGUCGUGAGACAGUUCGGUCCCUAUCUGCCGUGGGCGCUGGAGAACUGAGGGGGGCUGCUCCUAGUACGAGAGGACCGGAGUGGACGCAUCACUGGUGUUCGGGUUGUCAUGCCAAUGGCACUGCCCGGUAGCUAAAUGCGGAAGAGAUAAGUGCUGAAAGCAUCUAAGCACGAAACUUGCCCCGAGAUGAGUUCUCCCUGACCCUUUAAGGGUCCUGAAGGAACGUUGAAGACGACGACGUUGAUAGGCCGGGUGUGUAAGCGCAGCGAUGCGUUGAGCUAACCGGUACUAAUGAACCGUGAGG